rnacentral:rRNA from 1 species
UGCGCAGGUGGGCCUGUAAGUCAGAGGUGAAAUCCCGCAGCUUAACUGUGGAACUGCCUUUGAUACUGCAGGUCUUGAGUCCUGGAGGGGUUGUCGGAACUCGUGGUGUAGCGGUGAAAUGCGUAGAUAUCACGAGGAACGCCGGAGGUGUAGACGGACAACUGGACAGGUACUGACACUGAGGCACGAAAGCGUGGGGAGCGAACA